UGUGGCACUCAAACACAAGCAUGGAGCUGGAAGUGGAGUUGUUUCCGUCCUGCUGUCUGCAGCCUGGGACCACCGUGACUCUUCACCAAGACUUUAUUCACUCUUGAUAAGAUGGAGGAUUAGAGGAUGACACUGCUCCACCUCAACAGCCUAGUGACGCCCCUGAUGGACGACGGCGCCCUUAGCAUUCACCUAUACCGCCUGCGCCCUGGGCCAGCCCUGAUGUCCCUCUUCCACCCCCUGAGGCUUGGAAUAUUUUUCAGUGAAGUGUUGAUGCCCGAUACUGAUAUUCAGGACAGCACUACUGGCAACACCUAAAAAAAUAUGAUUCUGUGACGGCGAUUUCCUCCUCUCUUCUCCCCGAUGUUCUACGGAGUGUGAGAAACAAAAGGUGAACAUCUGCGGUGACAAUGGAUCCUGUGCAGGUGGCGUUUUUGUCUUCACCACACAGAUCAAAGCAGGAAGGAUUAGGAGGAUGACACGCAG